AAGGAUCAUUAUUGAAUAAACUUGGUUGGGUUGUUGCUGGCUUUUCGGAGCAUGUGCACGCCUAGCGCCAUUUUUACCACCUGUGCACUUCUUGUAGAUUUGAAACACCUCUCGAGGAAACUCGGUUUGAGGACUGCUGUGCGCAAGCUAAGCUUUCCUUGCGUUUCAGGUCUAUGUUUUUAUAUACCCCAUAAGAAUGUUUUAGAAUGUCAUUAAUGGGCUUCAUUGCCUCUAAAUUAAUACAACUUUCAACAACGGAUCUCUUGGCUCUCGCAUCGAUGAAGAACGCAGCGAAAUGCGAUAAGUAAUGUGAAUUGCAGAAUUCAGUGAAUCAUCGAAUCUUUGAACGCACCUUGCGCUCCUUGGUAUUCCGAGGAGCAUGCCUGUUUGAGUGUCAUUAAAUUCUCAACCCUUUCAGCUUUUGCGAGCUGGAUUGGCUUGGAUGUGGGGGUUUGCGGGCUUCUCAGAAGUCGGCUCCUCUUAAAUACAUUAGCGGAACCUUUGUGGACCAGCUUUGGUGUGAUAAUUAUCUACNCCAUGGUUGUGAAGCAGCUUUAUAUGGGGUUCAGCUUCUAACCGUCCAUUGACUUGGACAAUUUCUGACAUUUUGACCUCAAAUCAGGUAGGACUACCCGCUGAACUUAAGCAU
rnacentral:rRNA from 1 species